rnacentral:rRNA from 1 species
UACAGGGGGGGGCAAGCGUUGUUCGGAAUUACUGGGCGUAAAGGGUUCGUAGGUGGCCACCUAAGUCAGACGUGAAAAUCCCUCAGCUUAACUGGGGAACUGCGUCUGAUACUGGGUGGCUUGAGUGCAGGAGAGGAAUGCGGAAUUCCAGGUGUAGCGGUGAAAUGCGUAGAUAUCUGGAGGAACACCGGUGGCGAAGGCGGCAUUCUGGACUGUAACUGACACUGAGGAACGAAAGCCAGGGGAGCAAACGGGG